rfam:Macaca mulatta chromosome 9, whole genome shotgun sequence.
GGCAGGGAAGUGCAGUGGGCAGAUGCACAGGUUGGGAACCUGGCUGAUGUGGGUUGUAAUCCUGCCCCUGCCC